AUGGAAGGUGGUGUUUUGAGAAAACAAUUAGGUCAGAACUAUGCAAUCUUAAGGUUGAUGAAGAUAGGGCCUCAAGGUGGUUUAGCAACAUCUCUUGCAACUGAGGUAGGAGGAGUGACGUUGAGAUUUACUUAUGAUGUAGACAUUGAUGCAGAAGGGAAUGAUUAUUUCACUUGUAGCAACACCACAUACCAGAGAAGGUUGUUGUAA